AUACGGAGGAUCCGAGCGUUAUCCGGAUUUAUUGGGUUUAAAGGGAGCGUAGGCGGACGCUUAAGUCAGUUGUGAAAGUUUGCGGCUCAACCGUAAAAUUGCAGUUGAUACUGGGUGUCUUGAGUACAGUAGAGGCAGGGGGGAUUUUAGGUGGAGGGGUGAAAUGCUUAGAUAUCACGAAGAACACCGAUUGCGAAGGCAGCCUGCUGGACUGUAGCUGACGCUGAUGCUCGAAAGUGUGGGUAUCAAACAGGAUUAGAUACCCUGGUAGUCCACACAGUAAACGAUGAAUACUCGCUGUUUGCGAUAUACAGUAAGCGGCCAAGCGAAAGCGUUAAGUAUUCCACCUGGGGAGUACGCCGGCAACGGUGAAACUCAAAGGAAUUGACGGGG
rnacentral:rRNA from 1 species